rnacentral:lncRNA from 1 species
UUUGCCCACAUCAGGCUGGAGAGCAGAGAGCCCCAGGAGUCUAAAGAGAGGCGGCCCUGCUGCUUGGCAGUUUCCAACCCCACCUCUUUCCUUGAUAAAUUAAUGGCUCAAGGUUAAGCAUCACGACCACCAGUCCUAUCUCCAUGUCUGCUGCCUGCCUAGAAGCCCGAGAGAAAGUGUUGGGGAAGAAAGAAGCAGAGGGCUGAGGUGCCCCAAGAACAGCCUGGAAAUCUAUCUGUGGCCGUUGUUACCCAUGAGCAUGGGCCUGGAGGGUCUGUGGGAGAGAGAGCCUUCUUACUGCAUAUCUUUUUGUAUCAUGUGUAUUUUUGCCAGUUGCGUAUUUUCAUAAUAAUAAAAAAGGAAAAACCCUCUU